rnacentral:rRNA from 1 species
UGCAGUCGAGCGAACAGAUGAAGUGCUUGCACUUCUGACGUUAGCGGCGAACGGGUGAGUAACACGUAAGGAAUCUACCUAUAAGCGGGGGAUAACAUUCGGAAACGGGUGCUAAUACCGCAUAAUAUCUUCUUCCGCAUGGAAGAAGAUUGAAAGACGGCUCUGCUGUCACUUAUAGAUGACCUUGCGGUGCAUUAGUUAGUUGGUGGGGUAACGGCCUACCAAGACGAUGAUGCAUAGCCGACCUGAGAGGGUGAUCGGCCACAUUGGGACUGAGACACGGCCCAAACUCCUACGGGAGGCAGCAGUAGGGAAUCUUCCGCAAUGGGCGAAAGCCUGACGGAGCAAUGCCGCGUGAGUGAAGAAGGCCUUCGGGUCGUAAAACUCUGUUAUAAGAGAAGAACAAAUUGUAGAGUAACUGCUACAGUCUUGACGGUAUCUUAUCAGAAAGCCACGGCUAACUACGUGCCAGCAGCCGCGGUAAUACGUAGGUGGCAAGCGUUGUCCGGAUUUAUUGGGCGUAAAGGGAGCGCAGGUGGUUUCUUAAGUCUGAUGUGAAAGCCCACGGCUUAACCGUGGAGGG